rnacentral:rRNA from 1 species
AGCGAACGCUGGCGGCAGGCUUAACACAUGCAAGUCGAGCGGGCAUCUUCGGAUGUCAGCGGCAGACGGGUGAGUAACACGUGGGAACGUACCCUUCGGUUCGGAACAACUCUGGGAAACUGGAGCUAAUGCCGGAUACGCCCUUAUGGGGAAAGGUUUACUGCCGAAGGAUCGGCCCGCGUCUGAUUAGCUAGUUGGUGGGGUAACGGCCUACCAAGGCGACGAUCAGUAGCUGGUCUGAGAGGAUGAUCAGCCACACUGGGACUGAGACACGGCCCAGACUCCUACGGGAGGCAGCAGGGGGGAAUAUUGGACAAUGGGCGCAAGCCUGCUCCAGCCAUGCCGGGUGAGUGAUGAAGGCCUUAGGGUUGUAAAGCUCUUUUGUCCGGGACGAUAAGGACGGUACCGGAAGAAUAAACCCCGGCUAACUUCGU